GCAUUAAGAGGCAAAAUGGCGGAGUUUAACUGGUCGAUGACCUUGCACGGACAUUUGACUGGUACGGGAAGAACGCUUCAAAUGAGCAUACAUACAGCUCCGGUAAACACACUGCACGUGUGGCACCUCCAAGAGCGGGCAGGCAACUGCACAGGCAGACAGCCCACCCCAAGGGCAGAAUCAGGGAAGAAGAGACGCAGGACCCCGGAAGCAUGCCAACGUCACACCGUGCACUUCAUCCCUCAAGUCACCCGCGCGGCCCUCUUGCAAGGUCUCACUCUGUCGCCAGCUGGAAUGCAGUGGCACAAUCCCAGCUCAGUGCAGCCUCAACCUCCAGGGCUCAAGUGAUCCUCCCACCUCAGCCUCCUGAGUAACUGGAACUACAGAUGUACACCACCACGCCCAGCGGAAGCUUCCGGAAGCCUCACCAGAAGCUGAGCAGAUGCUGGAGCCGUGCUUGUACAGUCUGCAGAACUAUGGAGUCUCACUCUUGUCUCCCCAGCUGGAGUGCAAUGGUGCGAUCUCAGCUCACUGCAACCUCCGCCUCCCAGGUUCAAGUGAUUCUCCUGUCUCAGCCUCUCCAGUAGCUGGGAUUACAGAAAGAGAAGGCAUGUGAAGAGACAGACACGUACACAGAGAGACUCCCUGCAAGGACUGCAGUUAUGCUGCCUCCAGCCAAACCACUACCAGAGGCCAGGAGAGAGGCUUGGAAGAGAUCCUGCCCCAGGAUCCUCAGAGGGAACAUGGCCCUGCUGACUCCUUGAUCUUGGACUUCUGGCACUUCCAUAACUGUGAGCUAAUAAAUUGCUGUUGCUCUAAGCCACCUACUUUGUGAUACUUUGUGACAAUGGUCCUAGGAAAAUAAUCCACCGUCAGAGACUGCUAAACUACACUUGCUCAUCUGGGCAGAAGUUGCGCAGAUCCAUCUUAAUCAUACCCCAGAGCCAUUGCUGUGAUGCCCACAAAGCUGGAUCUCAAGUCACAGGGACAAGAGAUACAGGGGUAAUUUACAAAAUUAAACACAGCCUGCCCAGUUACAGUUCAAUUUUAGGAAAUCAUAUUACAUAAUACUGGAACAUACUUUAAAAAAAAAAAGGUGUUGUUCAAGGUCAGGAGUUCGAGACCAGCCUGGCCAACAUGAUGAAACCCCCAUCUCUACUAAAAAUACAAAAAUUAUCUGGGCGUGGUGACAGGUGCCUGUAGUCCCAGCUACUCCGGAGGCUGACGCAGGGAAUCGCUUGAACUCGGGAGGCAGAGGUUGCAGUGAGCCAAGAUCGCACCACUGCACUCCAGCCUGGGUGACAGAGUGAGUCUCUGUCUCAAGACAAAAAAAAAGGUGUUGUCUAUCUGAAAUUCAAAUAUAACUGGGCAUCCUAUGUUUUUAUUUGCUAAAUCUGACAACCCUAGGAAGGCGACCAGCAGGAGGUAAACAUGCCCUUGGGACAUGCUAGGGCAGGCGAUGUCUUCACUUCUGAGCACUCUCCCUGGCAGUCCACACUUAACAGGAGUUGGCCCAGAGAGACGGAAGCAAUCCACGCAAAUCCUCUCUCAGGCCCAGUGAGAUGCAUUUGGAAAAGGUGAAAAAGAUGUGCCUCAGAGAAUCAGAGAAGCAAAAAGAGUGACUGCUAGAAGACUGUUGUAAAAUGAGUGGGUAAAGCCCUGUUGGAAAUGGAAGAAAAUAAGAAAAUAAAAACAAAUCCUCCUAUUGCCAUUACUUGUGCUUUGUGACAUUGUUUAUUAACCAAGUAGAAAUAUUACCUUAAAAUACCAGAGAUUAUAACUAAGACACUGGAAGAGGGAUAUAAGAAAGAAUGUUUAGUUUCUGUUUACUACUAGAAGAGGCUCAAGAAAAUGUUGAAGUGUAACACAGAAAUGAAAAUGUAUUUUAAGGCUGAAUGCGGUGGCUCACGCCUGUAAUCGUAGCACUGUGGGAGGCUGAGUAGGGAAGGCUGAGUGUGGUGGCUCACGCCUGUAAUCCUAGCACUUUGGGAGGCUGAGUAGGGAAGGCUGAGUGUGGUGGCUCACGCCUGUCAUCCCAGCACUUUGGGAGGCCGAGUAAGGCAGAUCACCUGAGUCAGGAGUUUGAGACCAGCCUGACCAACAUGGCAAAACCCUGUCUCUACUAAAAAUACAAAAAUUAUCUGGGCAUGGUGGCGUGUGCCUGUAAUCCCAGCUAUGCCAGAGGCUGAGGCAUGAGAGUCACUUGAACUCGGGAGGCGGAGCUUGCAGUGAGCCGAGAUCGUGCCAUCGCACUCCAGCCUGGGCAACAGAGCGAGACUCUGUCUCAAAAAAAGUAAAAAUAAAAAUAAAUAUUUGAAGAGGGCUAAACAAAUUACAGCAAAAUUUCCUGGCAUUAAUAUAAGAGCAGAUGAAGAUGUCUACUCUCAUUUGAUGUUUGUGAUAGAGAGGAUGAUGGAAGGGCCCAAAGUUAGAUAAAUUCAAGAAGCCCGCAAAAGAACGUGCACUUCUGGGUGUUCAGACAAAUGGAUCUGGCAGACACAAAGCCCAGAGGCUGCAGGUGAACUAGCUUGAGGAUAAUGAAUAGAAAAUGCAAACUACCCCCAAAAAGAGUGACACAAGGAAAAUGACGUUCUGAAGUAGGAAAGGGGCCAAAAACAGGAAAGACGGAAGCAGGUAAGUUUGAUAAUGAUGCUGAAAAGGCCUAAACAGGAUUUUGACGCAAGAGAUAGAAUUACUUUCCCAAAUUGCAGGGUUCAGCAUCCAGAAUUCAAUUGUCAAGGUUGAAUUCAAAUUUGGGUUAGGAUUAUCCCAAACAAAAAUGAUAAGGAACACUCCUACAUCAUUGUGGGAAUAAAUCCAAGGGAAUUUACUUAGGCUGGAGAAAGUUUGUUUAAAACUCAGUAGCUCCCAUUUCAAUGGCAAAGACACAGUAAUUUUCCUAAAACAAGAGGCCUGCUGUGCAUUUUCUAGUAAGAACCUACAAAACUGAAGCUGGUGAAUAAAUCCUUUAAAUCAAGGAAAGGAGAUACCCUGCAACGCUUAAAGCAUCCUAGAGGAGUGUGACUGUCAAAAAUACCUUCUGAUUAUGUGACGUGUUUAAGACUGGAGCUCUCACGAGGGAUCCAUUUGACCACCGUGCACUCUAAGCAUGAGGAGAGUGUGAAGGUCAGUGAUCUUUCUGCUAAUACUGAACAUGUCUCAGAAUACGCCACCGGAGACAGGGAGUUGCCUCAGGAAACACCAAAAGAAGAGCAAAAGGAGAAGCUGAAAACACAAGAAAACCAAAUGCAUUUAUAAAAAAAAAAAAAGAAA